ACUCUGAUGCAGCCCUGCCGCGUGUGUGAAGAAGGCCUUAGGGUUGUAAAGCACUUUCAAUAGGGAGGAAAAGCUGUAGGUUAAUACCCUGCAGCCGUGACGUUACCUAUAGAAGAAGGACCGGCUAACUCCGUGCCAGCAGCCGCGGUAAUACGGAGGGUCCGAGCGUUAAUCGGAAUUACUGGGCGUAAAGCGCGCGUAGGCGGAUAUAUAAGUCAGAUGUGAAAUCCCCGGGCUCAACCUGGGAACUGCAUUUGAAACUGUAUAUCUAGAGUGUGGUAGAGGUGAGUGGAAUUUCAGGUGUAGCGGUGAAAUGC
rnacentral:rRNA from 1 species